GCCUCAGUGGCCAAGUGGUAAGGUGUCGGUCUCGUAAACCGAAGAUCAUGGGUUCAACCCCUAUCUGAGGCU
rnacentral:tRNA from 1 species